UCUCUGGGCCGNUACUGACGCUGAGGAGCGAAAGCGUGGGGAGCGAACAGGAUUAGAUACCCUGGUAGUCCACGCCGUAAACGUUGGGAACUAGGUGUGGGNNACAUUCCACGUNGUCCGUGCCGCAGCUAACGCAUUAAGUUCCCCGCCUGGGGAGUACGGCCGCAAGGCUAAAACUCAAAGGAAUUGACGGGGGCCCGCACAAGCRGCGGAGCAUGUGGCUUAAUUCGACGCAACGCGAAGAACCUUACCAAGGCUUGACAUAYACCRGAAASSSCCAGAGAUGGNNNCCCCCUUGUGGYCGGUGUACAGGUGGUGCAUGGYUGUCGUCAGCUCGUGUCGUGAGAUGUUGGGUUAAGUCCCGCAACGAGCGCAACCCUUGUCCUGUGUUGCCAGCAUGCCUUYGUGGUGMUGGGGACUCACAGGAGACYGCCGGGGUCAACUCGGAGGAAGGUGGGGACGACGUCAAGUCAUCAUGCCCCUUAUGUCUUGGGCUG
rnacentral:rRNA from 1 species